GACGAACGCUGGCGGCGUGCCUAAUACAUGCAAGUAGAACGCAGUUGCGAACGUGUGAGUAACGCGUCUGUAACUACCUAUUAGAGGGGGAUAACUAUUGGAAACGAUAGCUAAUAACGCCUACUAGUCGAUGGACCUGCGUUAUAUUAGGUAGUAGGUAGGGUAAUGGCCUCCCUAGGCAACGAUACAUAGCCGACCUGGAAGGGGGAUCGGCCACACUGGGACUGGAAAACGGCCCCAACUCCGUCGGGGAGCAACAGUGGGGAAUCUUCGGAGAGGGGGGGAACCCUGACCGAGCCACGCCGCGUGAGUGGAGAAGGGUUUCGGAUCGUAAAGCUAUGUUGUUAAGGAAGCGGUACUUAACCAGAAAGGACCGGCUAACUACGUGCCAGCAGCCGCGGUAAUAC
rnacentral:rRNA from 1 species